ACUCAUGGCUGUCCCCUCCCUAACAAUAUAACUUCCAGCUCCUUCCAGCAGCCCCCUCCACUGAGUCAGACUUGAAGGGCAUGGUGCAAGAAUGCUUUCCAGGACAGGGAAGGCCCACCUGCCCUUGUCCUCUCUACAGCUUUCCCAUUAAGGCAUCUGAUGACCACAAUGUUUCUAAGCUGGAAACCUCCCAACUAACAGCAGGACCCAGAAUGCAAGUCUCCAGGGGCACAAAGAGGUACUUCAACAACAGGACGACCCACCCCCAACUACCAACCAAACUACGCUCUGCUGCAAGGCAGGAGACCGGCUUCUCUCAAAUACAGCAAAGGCUGCCCCAGAUACACAGUGACACACAGACAGUGCCUUGAGUUCACCUGGUCAUUACUUGGAGGAUUGAUUUGGUCCAAAACUCCUCGAGCUGCCAGGGAUCCUAGUUAACAGCCCCAUGCAUGAAAACCAAGCAGGCCUGGAAUUCCACCCGCCUGUCAACAAGCCCAGGAGAGGAAACCAGCGGCUGGGAUGCACUUGUGUUUGCCCUGAGAGCAGGGAGCUCCUCCUCCACAGACCAGGCAUGGAGGACGGCCCUGGUGGGGCCACCUGCCCAUAAUCCCCAAGUGACUCUGGAAGAUUCCUCCUUUUGAAAAUCAUGGGGAAGGGGUUACCUGUUAUGAUUUUGGCAUUCUGCCUUCUUUGUGACUGGUGGAAAUCCUACAGACUUGCACCAACUUUCCUAAGACAAUAGACUUCGGGGUUUAAAACAUGUUAACACAAUGUCUUUGAAACAUUUAGAAAUAUCUUCACCACUCCCACCAACGUUGAGCAUUUGUUUUUAAAAAAUAAACACAUGGCAAGAA